rnacentral:rRNA from 1 species
UACGGAGGGUGCGAGCGUUGCUCGGAAUUACUGGGCGUAAAGCGCGCGUAGGCCGGCAGGUAAGUCGGGUGUGAAACCCCCGGGCUCAACCUGGGAACUGCAUUCGAUACGGCAUUGCUGGAGGACGGAAGAGGUUGGCGGAACUCCCAGUGUAGCGGUGAAAUGCGUAGAUAUCGGGAGGAACACCGGUGGCGAAGGCGGCCCUCUGGCUCGGUCCUGACACUGAAGUGCGAAAGCGUGGGGAGCAAACAGG